CUCUGCAGGGGUCCCUUUCUCCUGUGGCUUCCUCUCAGUUGCCCCCACAGGCACAGCCACAGCCAUGAGGAAGGACCUGUUUAUAGCAAUCGUGGAGAACAUGCAUGAGUUGUCUCCAGCCCCUUUCUUGGCCUUUUGUGGGUUUGCCCAUUUAGAACAAUCGUGGAACUAGCUUAUUGACCCUUUCCCUGUGCUUCUGGCUGCCUUUUCUGCCCAGGGUCCAGGGCUCUUGUUUGGGUGCUGUUGAGGUAAAAGCUGCCUCUUCUGGAUGCCCACCCAGUGUACACCAUGCGCUUACCACAUGCCCACCUGAACCAGCCCUGCCCACAAGGCCUCUGAAUCUGCCAGAGCUGCCCUUGUUUGGGAUGAUGGAUGGGAGGUGGAUGAAUUAUGGAAACCAGAUGUAAAGCCAGGGUCUCAGUAAAUAGUCAUUGAAUGAAAUAAUUCUGAGUUCAAGUCCUAAAUGAAAGUGUUGGUAGCCUUUGGAAUUCUACUGGGAGGGUCUGCCCACAGCGCCAUUGACUGACUCUUAGAUGUCCUGUGUACCUACCCACGCCAUCCUAGAUGCUGUAUGAAGAUAUGAAGGAAUCAGGAGGUAAUUUUCUACUUUCAUGAAAACUGGUUGAAUCCUAGCAUAUCGUAGAAUAUUUAGCAGUUUUGUUACUAAAACAGAGUUUAAGAAGGUGGCCUCCCAGAAUUCAGGUUAAUCUCUUUCCUGUGUUCUAUUUUCUGCAAUACAUAUAGCUGCCACCAGAUGGUAGUGGUGUUCCGAUAAAGGCUGGUAAAUAAUUCCUUAUCAGCCUCUUUGGAAAACAGUACUUUGGGCUGGGCAUGGUGGGGUCAUGCCUGUAAUCCCAGAACUUUGGGAGGUCA